GAUGAACGCUAGCUACAGGCUUAACACAUGCAAGUCGAGGGGCAGCAUGAAGUUUUCUUCGGAAGACUUUGAUGGCGACCGGCGCACGGGUGAGUAACGCGUAUCGAACCUGCCUCAUACUCGGGAAUAGCCUUGCGAAAGUAAGAUUAAUGCCCGAUGUUCUUGGUGUUCCGCAUGAGGCGCCAAGCAAAGAUUCAUUGGUAUGAGAUGGCGAUGCGUCCCAUUAGCUUGUUGGCGGGGUAACGGCCCACCAAGGCAUCGAUGGGUAGGGGUUCUGAGAGGAAGGUCCCCCACAUUGGAACUGAGACACGGGCCAAACUCCUACGGGAGGCAGCAGUGAGGAAUAUUGGUCAGUGGACGGAAGUCUGAACCAGCCAAGUAGCGUGCAGGAAGACGGCCCUCCGGGUUGUAAACUGCUUUUAGUUGGGAAUAAAACGCGGGACGUGUCCCGCCUUGUAUGUACCAUCAGAAAAAGGACCGGCUAAUUCCGUGCCAGCAGCCGCAGUAA
rnacentral:rRNA from 1 species